CCAGUCAUGAGAUUCAGUGGAGACCAAACAGGGGAGACUGCAUGGAAGUUGACACCUCGGGGAACACUCAGUCAUGUGUGUCCAGAAAAGCUGCCUGGGUUACGGUGACCUAGAUUCCCAACGCUCCAAGCUGGAGCCUUCCUUUCUCUUGGAAUUCUGUGCUGAACUCACCCAUAAUUCAUCAGCCUGCCCCUCUGAGAACUCGUCUACAGCCAGAGACAGUUUACAGUUGUGCUUUGCUCUUCCUACGUCCAGCACCGAAUCAGGCGGCUAUAGCUGGAGGCUCUGAGGCAGAAGGAAAAAGAUGACCACGAUGGACCUGAAGCACAGAUGUCCUUUUGGAGAGGGACACAGCUGGUGGCUGCUGAGACAGCUCACAGUUAAAAGUGCUUACUGCCUGUCAACCUGAGUUUGAUCACUGGAACCCACAGGGUGGAAGAAGAGAACCAAUGGCCGCAAGUUGUCCUUUGACCUUCACAUAUGAGAAACAGUGUGUGUUUGCCCAUGUAUGGGGAGGACCAAGAGGAGAGAUGAAGUCUUCUGCAAUAUGGAGAGAGUUGUGGAGAAGACCUAAAAUCACAUGUGCUGAAAGACAUUCCACCCCUCUUGCCACAACUGAGGAAUGCCUUGUCCAUGCCGCUGCUUUCCGGGCAGCUUAACCUGGGAUGCAGCCCAGAUGUUCCCAGCUGUGGGAGCCUGGCCUAGGGUGGGAAAAUGCAGGAGGCCCUUAUGGAUGGCUGCCACCUUCCCUCAAAGUUGGCUGACUCUCCCUACAAAACAAUGAAGCCAACAAACAAACUGCCAAGCAAACACAGUGGAGUGGGUGACUGUUUUUUAAAUGAUUUCAUUAAGUAAAAUAUUUUAAUUCAUAUUA